rnacentral:rRNA from 1 species
GUGGGGAAUUUUGGACAAUGGGCGCAAGCCUGAUCCAGCAAUGCCGCGUGCAGGAAGAAGGCCUUCGGGUUGUAAACUGCUUUUGUACGGAACGAAAAGGCUCUGGCUAAUACCUGGAGCUCAUGACGGUACCGUAAGAAUAAGCACCGGCUAACUACGUGCCAGCAGCCGCGGUAAUACGUAGGGUGCGAGCGUUAAUCGGAAUUACUGGGCGUAAAGCGUGCGCAGGCGGUGCUGUAAGACAGGCGUGAAAUCCCCGGGCUCAACCUGGGAAUUGCGCUUGUGACUGCAGCGCUAGAGUGCGGCAGAGGGGGAUGGAAUUCCGCGUGUAGCAGUGAAAUGCGUAGAUAUGCGGAGGAACACCGAUGGCGAAGGCAAUCCCCUGGGCCUGCACUGACGCUCAUGCACGAAAGCGUGGGGAGCAAACAGGAUUAGAUACCCUGGUAGUCC